GUCCGGGUGGCGGAAUAGGUAGACGCGCCAGCUUGAGGUGCUGGUGCCCGGUAUAGGGCAUGGAGGUUCAAGUCCUCUCUCGGACA
rnacentral:tRNA from 1 species